GAAGAAAACAUAUCAACUCACUUUGAUUUCUUUAGGGGCUCAGCUAAAUCUAGUUUUAAUGGUUGCAGAACAAAAUGAAAAUAAAAAUUUUAGUAUCUCAAAAUCUAGUUUCUAUUUUUUUUUUGUGACAGUAAUCAAUGAUUUCAAAAUAACCAAAAACCUCGUAAUAAGAUUCAAUUGAAUCUUAAAACUACACAACUUUCAGAACUAAAGAAUGACGAAAAACGAAAUAAUAGAGGAGAAGUGGAGGAGCUACUACACAACUAUUUUCAUUUUUCUAACCAAUCAGAGCGCACCGGACUACGCCCACUCGCACCAACUUCGCGUCACGCGCUCCGGACCACGCCCACUCGCAUCAACCUCGCGUUGAGCGCGUGUCGUCGAUUUCUGUAGGGGUAAACCCACAAAAUCAUGCCUAUUUUACAUCUACUCGCUUUGUUUCCAAAACAGCCUCGAGUGACUUUUUCUUUUGUUUUUUUUUUCUCAAAACCGUACUAUUCUAAUACAAACCGAACCAAAAUUAAUUUUCAUUUCACAACCAUCUAAACCAAACAGAAAUCACUUGUAAUUUCAAAACCUAUGUACGCCGAACCGAAAUCUAUUGUCAUU
rnacentral:sRNA from 1 species